AGACGUAGGGCGCAAGCGUUGUCCGGAUUUAUUGGGCGUAAAGAGCUCGUAGGCGGCCUGUCGCGUCAACCGUGAAAUCCCGCGGCUUAACUGUGGGCGUGCGGUUGAUACGGGUGGGCUGGAGUUCGGUAGGGGAGACUGGAAUUCCUGGUGUAGCGGUGAAAUGCGCAGAUAUCAGGAGGAACACCGGUGGCGAAGGCGGGUCUCUGGGCCGAUACUGACGCUGAGGAGCGAAAGCGUGGGGAGCGAACAGGAUUAGAUACCCUGGUAGUCCACGCUGUAAACUGUGGGCGCUAGGUGUGGGGGGCCUUCCCGGGUUCCGGUGCCGUAGCUAACGCAUUAAGCGCCCCGCCUGGGGAGUACGGCCGCAAGGCUAAA
rnacentral:rRNA from 1 species